GAAAUGCGAUAAGUAAUGUGAAUUGCAGAAUUCAGUGAAUCAUCGAAUCUUUGAACGCACCUUGCGCUCCUUGGUAUUCCGAGGAGCAUGCCUGUUUGAGUGUCAUGGAAUUCUCAACUCUAUUUGCUUUUGUGAAUAGAGCUUGGAUUUGGAGGUUUAUUGCUGGUACUUGUGAUCGGCUCCUCUUGAAUGCAUUUGCUCGAACCUUUGCGGAUCAGCUAUCGGUGUGAUAAUUGUCUACGCCGUUGCAGUGAAGCAUAUCAAUGGGCUCGGCUUCCAAUCGUCCUUUACUGGACAAUGACUUUGACCUUUGACCUCAAAUCAGGUAGGAUUACCCGCUGAACUUAAGC
rnacentral:misc_RNA from 1 species